CCCACAUCUGCACCAUGAGGUAUGCCCCAAUCAGAGAUCUGCACCAUGAGGUAUGCCCCAAUCCCACAUCUGCACCAUGAGGUAUGCCCCAAUCAGAGAUCUGCACCAUGAGGUAUGCCCCA